rnacentral:rRNA from 1 species
GGGCAAGCGGCAGCUAAUACAUGCAAGUCGGACGGGAUCCAUCGGUAGCUUGCUAUCACAUGGUGAGAGUGGCGCACGGGUGCGUAACGCGUGAGCAACCUGCCUCCAUCAGGGGGAUAGCCUCUCGAAAGAGAGAUUAACACCGCAUAACAUAAUGUUCCGGCAUCGGAGGAUUAUUAAAUAUUUAUAGGAUGGAGAUGGGCUCGCGUGACAUUAGCUAGUUGGUGGGGUAACGGCCCACCAAGGCGACGAUGUCUAGGGGCUCUGAGAGGAGAAUCCCCCACACUGGUACUGAGACACGGACCAGACUCCUACGGGAGGCAGCAGUAAGGAAUAUUGGUCAAUGGGCGGAAGCCUGAACCAGCCAUGCCGCGUGCAGGAUGACUGCCCUAUGGGUUGUAAACUGCUUUUGUCCGGGAAUAAACCUCCUUACGUGUAGGGAGCUGAAUGUACCGGAAGAAUAAGGAUCGGCUAACUCCGUGCCAGCAGCCGCGGUAAUACGGAGGAUCCGAGCGUUAUCCGGAUUUAUUGGGUUUAAAGGGUGCGUAGGCGGCCUGUUAAGUCAGGGGUGAAAUACGGUGGCUCAACCAUCGCAGUGCCUUUGAUACUGACGGGCUUGAAUCCAUAUGAAGUGGGCGGAAUAAGACAAGUAGCGGUGAAAUGCAUAGAUAUGUCUUAGAACUCCGAUUGCGAAGGCAGCUCACUAAGCUGGUAUUGACGCUGAUGCACGAAAGCGUGGGGAUCGAACAGGAUUAGAUACCCUGGUAGUCCACGCCCUAAACGAUGAUAACUCGAUGUUGGCGAUAGACAGCCAGCGUCCCAGCGAAAGCGUUAAGUUAUCCACCUGGGGAGUACGCCCGCAAGGGUGAAACUCAAAGGAAUUGACGGGGGCCCGCACAAGCGGAGGAGCAUGUGGUUUAAUUCGAUGAUACGCGAGGAACCUUACCCGGGCUUGAAAGUUAGUGAAGGAUGCAGAGACGCAUCCGUCCUUCGGGACACGAACUAGGUGCUGCAUGGCUGUCGUCAGCUCGGGCCGUGAGGUGUUGGGUAAGUCCCGC